CCUACGGGUGGCAGCAGUGAGGAAUAUUGGUCAAUGGCCGGAAGGCUGAACCAGCCAAGCAGCGUGAAGGACGAAGGUGCCAAGCAUUGUAAACUUCUUUUGUCAAGGGACAAAAUCAGGCUCGAGAGCCUGACCGUGGGUACUUGAAGAAAAAGCAUCGGCUAACUCCGUGCCCGAACCCGCGGUAAUACGGAGGAUGCGAGCGUUAUCCGGUUUUAUUGGGUUUAAGGGGUGGGUAGGCGGCCUGUUAAUGCAGUGGGAAAAGCCGGGGGCUCAACACCGGAGAGCCGUUGAAACUGGCGGUCUUGAGAGGUCGAGGGGAAGGCGGAAUGCGCAGUGUAGCGGUGAAAUGCUUAGAUAUUGCGCAGAACUCCGAUUGCGAAGGCAGCAUACCGGCGGCGAUCUGACGCUGAGGCACGAAAGCGUGGGUAUCGAACAGGAUUAGAUACCCUAGUAGUC
rnacentral:rRNA from 1 species